rnacentral:rRNA from 1 species
GAGUGGCGAACGGGUGAGUAACACGUGGGUGAUCUACCUUCGAGUGGGGGAUAACGUUCCGAAAGGAGCGCUAAGACCGCAUGACGUUCCGGGUUUGAAGACCUGGCAACCAAAGUCGGGGACCGCAAGGCCUGACGCUAGAAGAGGAGCCCGCGCCUGAUUAGCUAGUUGGUGAGGUAAUGGCUCACCAAGGCGACGAUCAGUAGCCGGCCUGAGAGGGCGGACGGCCACACUGGGACUGAGACACGGCCCAGACUCCUACGGGAGGCAGCAGUGGGGAAUUGUUCGCAAUGGGCGCAAGCCUGACGACGCAACGCCGCGUGGAGGAUGAAGGUCUUCGGAUUGUAAACUCCUGUUGACCGGGAAGAAUGGACUCCGCUCUAACACAGCGGAGUAAUGACGGUACCGGUUGAGGAAGCCACGGCUAACUCUGUGCCAGCAGCCGCGGUAAUACAGAGGUGGCAAGCGUUGUUCGGAAUUACUGGGCGUAAAGGGCGCGUAGGCGGCCUUCUAAGUCAGACGUGAAAUCCCCAGGCUUAACUUGGGAACUGCGUCUGAUACUGGAGGGCUCGAGUGCGGGAGAGGGAUGUGGAAUUCCAGGUGUAGCGGUGAAAUGCGUAGAUAUCUGGAGGAACACCGGUGGCGAAGGCGGCAUCCUGGACCGACAC